rnacentral:rRNA from 1 species
AUUGAACGCUGGCGGCAGGCCUAACACAUGCAAGUCGAACGAGGGGCGGGCGGGUGAGUAAUGUGGGGGAAACCGCCUGAUGGAGGGGGAUAACCACGGGACACGGUAGAUAAUACCGCAUAACAUCAGGAACCCCCAGAUGGGAUUAGCUAGUGGGUGGGGUAACGGCUCACCUAGGCGACGAUCCCUAGCUGGUCUGAGAGGAUGACCAGCCACACUGGAACUGAGACACGGUCCAGACUCCUACGGGAGGCAGCAGUGGGGAAUAUUGCACAAUGGGCGCAAGCCUGAUGCAGCCAUGCCGCGUGUAUGAAGAAGGCCUUCGGGUUGUAAAGUACUUUCAGCGGGGAGGCGUUACCCGCAGAAGAAGCACCGGCUAACUCCGUGCCAGCAGCCGCGGUAAUAC